rnacentral:rRNA from 1 species
AUUGAACGCUGGCGGCAUGCUCUACACAUGCAAGUCGAACGGUAACAGGCCGCAAGGUGCUAACGAGUGGCGAACGGGUGAGUAAUGCAUCGGAACGUGCCCAGUCGUGGGGGAUAACGCAGCGAAAGCUGCGCUAAUACCGCAUACGAUCUAUGGAUGAAAGCGGGGGACCGAAAGGCCUCGCGCGAUUGGAGCGGCCGAUGUCAGAUUAGGUAGUUGGUGGGGUAAAGGCUCACCAAGCCAACGAUCUGUAGCUGGUCUGAGAGGACGACCAGCCACACUGGGACUGAGACACGGCCCAGACUCCUACGGGAGGCAGCAGUGGGGAAUUUUGGACAAUGGGCGCAAGCCUGAUCCAGCAAUGCCGCGUGCAGGAAGAAGGCCUUCGGGUUGUAAACUGCUUUUGUACGGAACGAAACGGUCCGGGUUAAUACCUUGGGCUAAUGACGGUACCGUAAGAAUAAGCACCGGCUAACUACGUGCCAGCAGCCGUCGUAAUAC